rfam:Ailuropoda melanoleuca scaffold1519_25, whole genome shotgun sequence.
GCCUGGCUGUCUUAGUUGGUAGAGCGCAUGACUCCUGAUCAUGGGGUUGUGGGUUCAAGCCCCACAUUGGGCA